GAGGAAUUUUUCACAACGGACGAAAGUCUGAUGGAGCAAUACCACGUGAACGAUGAAGGUCUUCUGAUUGUAAAGUUCUUUUAUUUAGGAAAAAAAGCGCGCUAGGAAAUGAGCGCGCCUUGAUGGUACUAAUUGAAUAAGUGACAGCUAACUAUGUGCCAGCAGCUGCGGUAAAACAUAGGUCACGAGCAUUAUCCGGAUUUAUUGGGCGUAAAGGAAGCGUAGGUGGGGAGGUUGAUCCAUUGUUAAAGGCAUUUGCUUAACAAAUGUAUGCGAUGGAGAUCGCCUCCCUAGAGUUAAUCAGGGGGUACUGGAAUUCAACGUGUAGCGGUGGAAUGCGUAGAUAUAUUGAGGAACACCAGAGGCUAAGGCGAGUACCUAGGAUAUAACUGACACUGAGGCUUGAAAGCGUGGGGAGCAAAUGGGAUUAGAUACCCCAGUAGUCCACGCCGUAAACGAUGGGCAUUAGGUAUUUGACAUCUGGUCGAGUGCUGUAGCUAACGCGUUAAAUGCCCCGCCUGGGUAGUAUAUACGCAAAUAUGAAACUCAAAGAAAUUGACGGGGACCUGAACAAGUGGUGGAGCAUGUUGCUUAAUUCGAUAAUACACGAAAAACCUUACCAAGGCUUGCAAUCUACUGCAAAGCUAUAGAAAUAUAGUGGAGGCAAUCAGUAAGACAGGUGGUGCAUGGCUGUCGUCAGCUCGUGUCUUGAGAUGUUUGGUUAAGUCCCGUAACGAGCGCAACCCUACUCUCUAGUUACCUAGUUCUAGAGUGACUGAAUCGUAAGAUAUAGGAAGGUUGGGGCCAAGUCAAGUCAUCAUGCCCCUUAUGCCUUGGGCUGCAAACGUGCUACAAUGGUAGGUACAAUGUGUUGCAAACUAGCGAUAGUGAGCUAAUCACCUAAAGCCUAUCUCAGUCCGGAUAAAAGGCUGCAAUUCGCCUAUUUGAAGUUGGAAUCACUAGUAAUCCUGUGUCAGCUAUAUCAGGGUGAAUACGUUCC
rnacentral:rRNA from 1 species